GAACAGCACCAAGAGGUAGCAAUGGAGGCUUGCAUUACACUGCAUGUUACAAUUCACUAAUUCUUUUUUAAAUUACACAGGUGAAACAGUGCCGUUAUUAGAGGUGAUGUUCAGAAUGGACAACCACAUGGGCAAGGCAUCCAAGCCUUAGGCUGGAGCUGGGAUCUGGACCACCUGAGGGAGCAACACAUUAACUCUUUGUCUGCUGGACCCUGAGAAGCCCGGCAGGAUGAGCGACCCCAGGGAAGUGCCCAGAAUGGUCAGGACAGUGGGGCAUUCUCUUUCCCAACAGCUCAGGGCUCCUGAGCCAGCUCAUUGGAGAGAUGGGCCUUGCCUCUACCUGUGUAUCUGCCUGGCUGCUUUCAAC
rnacentral:lncRNA from 1 species